AGUCUUAUAUUCAUGCUUGUGAUAAUAGAAUGCAAUUCUGUCGGGGUGGGAUAAAGGAUUUGCCACUAAGGCUU
rnacentral:tRNA from 1 species